rnacentral:rRNA from 1 species
AGAGUUUGAUCAUGGCUCAGAUUGAACGCUGGCGGCAGGCCUAACACAUGCAAGUCGAACGGUAACAGAAAGCAGCUUGCUGCUUUGCUGACGAGUGGCGGACGGGUGAGUAAUGUCUGGGAAGCUGCCUGAUGGAGGGGGAUAACUACUGGAAACGGUAGCUAAUACCGCAUAACGUCGCAAGACCAAAGAGGGGGACCUUCGGGCCUCUUGCCAUCGGAUGUGCCCAGAUGGGAUUAGCUAGUAGGUGGGGUAACGGCUCACCUAGGCGACGAUCCCUAGCUGGUCUGAGAGGAUGACCAGCCACACUGGAACUGAGACACGGUCCAGACUCCUACGGGAGGCAGCAGUGGGGAAUAUUGCACAAUGGGCGCAAGCCUGAUGCAGCCAUGCCGCGUGUAUGAAGAAGGCCUUCGGGUUGUAAAGUACUUUCAGCGGGGAGGAAGGGAGUAAAGUUAAUACCUUUGCUCAUUGACGUUACCCGCAGAAGAAGCACCGGCUAACUCCGUGCCAGCAGCCGCGGUAAUACGGAGGGUGCAAGCGUUAAUCGGAAUUACUGGGCGUAAAGCGCACGCAGGCGGUUUGUUAAGUCAGAUGUGAAAUCCCCGGGCUCAACCUGGGAACUGCAUCUGAUACUGGCAAGCUUGAGUCUCGUAGAGGGGGGUAGAAUUCCAGGUGUAGCGGUGAAAUGCGUAGAGAUCUGGAGGAAUACCGGUGGCGAAGGCGGCCCCCUGGACGAAGACUGACGCUCAGGUGCGAAAGCGUGGGGAGCAAACAGGAUUAGAUACCCUGGUAGUCCACGCCGUAAACGAUGUCGACUUGGAGGUUGUGCCCUUGAGGCGUGGCUUCCGGAGCUAACGCGUUAAGUCGACCGCCUGGGGAGUACGGCCGCAAGGUUAAAACUCAAAUGAAUUGACGGGGGCCCGCACAAGCGGUGGAGCAUGUGGUUUAAUUCGAUGCAACGCGAAGAACCUUACCUGGUCUUGACAUCCACGGAAGUUUUCAGAGAUGAGAAUGUGCCUUCGGGAACCGUGAGACAGGUGCUGCAUGGCUGUCGUCAGCUCGUGUUGUGAAAUGUUGGGUUAAGUCCCGCAACGAGCGCAACCCUUAUCCUUUGUUGCCAGCGGUCCGGCCGGGAACUCAAAGGAGACUGCCAGUGAUAAACUGGAGGAAGGUGGGGAUGACGUCAAGUCAUCAUGGCCCUUACGACCAGGGCUACACACGUGCUACAAUGGCGCAUACAAAGAGAAGCGACCUCGCGAGAGCAAGCGGACCUCAUAAAGUGCGUCGUAGUCCGGAUUGGAGUCUGCAACUCGACUCCAUGAAGUCGGAAUCGCUAGUAAUCGUGGAUCAGAAUGCCACGGUGAAUACGUUCCCGGGCCUUGUACACACCGCCCGUCACACCAUGGGAGUGGGUUGCAAAAGAAGUAGGUAGCUUAACCUUCGGGAGGGCGCUUACCACUUUGUGAUUCAUGACUGGGGUGAAGUCGUAACAAGGUAACCGUAGGGGAACCUGCGGUUG